GCUCCGGUGGCCUAGUGGUUAGAGUGUCCGGUCUCGGAUGCGGGAGGUCGUGGGUUCGAUCCCCGGCCGAGUCA